GGAGAGAUGUCCGAGCGGUUUAAGGAGCACGCCUGGAAAGUGUGUAUACGUUAAUAGCGUAUCGAGGGUUCGAAUCCCUCUCUCUCCGCCA
rnacentral:tRNA from 2 species